rnacentral:rRNA from 1 species
UACGUAGGCAGCAAGCGUUGUUCGGAAUUACUGGGCGUAAAGAGUGUGUAGGCGGUGCUCCAAGUCUGGUGUGAAAUCUACAGGCUCAACUUGUAGUCUGCAUGAGAAACUGCCGGGCUUGAGUAUGGGAGAGGUGAGUGGAAUUCCUGGUGUAGCGGUGAAAUGCGUAGAUAUCAGGAGGAACACCUGUGGCGAAAGCGGCUCACUGGACCAUAACUGACGCUGAUGCACGAAAGCUAGGGGAGCAAACAGG